AACGAACGCUGGCGGCAUGCCUAACACAUGCAAGUCGAACGAGACCUUCGGGUCUAGUGGCGCACGGGUGCGUAACGCGUGGGAACCUGCCCUUAGGUUCGGAAUAACUCCCCGAAAGGGGUGCUAAUACCGGAUAAUGUCUUCGGACCAAAGAUUUAUCGCUUUUGGAUGGGCCCGCGUUGGAUUAGCUAGUUGGUAGGGUAAAAGCCUACCAAGGCGACGAUCCAUAGCUGGUCUGAGAGGAUGAUCAGCCACACUGGGACUGAGACACGGCCCAGACUCCUACGGGAGGCGGCAGUGGGGAAUAUUGGACGAUGGGCGAAAGCCUGAUACAGCAAUGCCGCGUGAGUGAUGAAGGCCUUAGGGUUGUAAAGCUCUUUUACCCGGGAUGAUAAUGACAGUACCGGGAGAAUAAGCUCCGGCUAACUCCGUG
rnacentral:rRNA from 1 species